UACAGAGACUGCAAGCGUUAUUCGGAUUCACUGGGCGUAAAGGGUGCGCAGGCGGUUGGGUGUGUCAGAUGUGAAAUCCCGAGGCUUAACCUCGGAACUGCGUCUGAAACUACUCGACUAGAGUACUGGAGAGGGUAACGGAAUUCACGGUGUAGCAGUGAAAUGCGUAGAGAUGUGGAGGAACACCGAUGGCGAAGGCAGCCCCCUGGUCGAACACUGACGCUCAUGCACGAAAGCGUGGGGAGCAAACAGGAUUAGAACUACCCGAGUCAGUC
rnacentral:rRNA from 1 species